AUCGGUAUGCCAGACUGGACUAGUUGAUCGAGUGUUUUGAUCACCUGCGUAGACGGACGCUCUGACAUCAACGCAAUGAGUUUGGCUUCCUGCAUGGAGGUUGUACUUUUCGAUACCGCAAAUGCUCAACAUAAUAGGGUCAUUGAUGAAGUGUUCCGGCAUGACCAGUUUAAGAACUUCCAUUGCGCCUAGAACGACAAUCAGGGUUAACCAAGUUGCUAUGUUGAAUGGCUGAAGGAAGAGCUCUACGAUAGUCAAUGGUCUUCCGUUGGGAACGACUAUAAUCUCGUUGGAAUUACUUCAAGAAAAUCCUCCUGGAACUGCUCCGAUUCCAUUUUUCUGGGAUUAUUUAAAAGAUUUCUUGGAACAAGUCC